rnacentral:rRNA from 1 species
CCCUUAGAUGUUCUGGGCUGCACGCGCGCUACACUGAAGCUAUCAACACGUUUUCCCUCCCUGAGAAGGGCGGGUAACCUUUUGAAUCAGCUUCGUGGUAGGGAUCGGGGCUUGCAAUUGUUCCCCGUGAACCAGGAAUUCCUAGUAGACGCGAGUCAUAAGCUCGCAUCGAUUAAGUCCCUGCCCUUUGUACACACCGCCCGUCGCUACUACCGAUUGAACGUUUUAGUGAGGCAUUUGGACCGACGCAUCUCAGUUUAACCGCUAGUUUGUGUUGGAAAGACUUCCAAACUUGAGCGUUUAGAGGAAGUAAAAGUCGUAACA